rnacentral:rRNA from 1 species
CCUACGGGAGGCAGCAGUGGGGGAUAUUGCACAAUGGGGGAAACCCUGAUGCAGCGACGCCGCGUGGGUGAAGAAGCGCCUCGGCGCGUAAAGCCCUGUCAGCAGGGAAGAAAAUGACGGUACCUGAAGAAGAAGCCCCGGCUAACUACGUGCCAGCAGCCGCGGUAAUACGUAGGGGGCAAGCGUUAUCCGGAUUUACUGGGGGUAAAGGGGGCGCAGACGGCGAUGCAAGCCAGGAGUGAAAGCCCGGGGGCCAACCCCGGGACUGCGCUUGGAACUGGGGGGCUGGAGUGCAGGAGGGGCAGGCGGAAUGCGUGGUGUAGCGGUGAAAUGCGUAGAUAUCAGGAGGAACACCGGUGGCGAAGGCGGCCUGCUGGACUGCAACUGACGUUGAGGCCCGAAAGCGUGGGGAGCAAACAGGAUUAGAUACCCGGGUAGUC